CCUACGGGGGGCAGCAGUAGGGAAUCUUUCACAAUGGGCGAAAGCCUGAUGGAGCAACUCCGCGUGCAGGAUGAAGGCCUUCGGGUUGUAAACUGCUUUUAUAAGCGAGAAAUAUGAUGGUAACUUAUGAAUAAGGAUCGGCUAACUACGUGCCAGCAGCCGCGGUCAUACGUAGGAGCCGAGCAUUAUCCGGGGUGACUGGGUGUAAAGAGUUGCGUAGGUAGCCUAAUAAGUAGCUAGUGAAAUUCGGCGGGUGAACCAUUCAGACCAUUAGCGAAACUGCUAAGCUCGAGACCGUUAGGGGGAACUGGAAUUUCACGUGUAGGAGUGAAAUCCGUAGAUAUUUGGAAGAAAACCAAUAGCGUAGGCAGGUUACUGGGACGGUUCUGACACUAAGACACGAAAGCGUAGGGAGCAAACGGGAUUAGAUACCCGUGUAGUC
rnacentral:rRNA from 1 species